GGUUCAUGAUGACAUAGGACCUUGUCUGAACAUAAUGAUUUCAAAACGUGAGCUUAAAAUAAAAGAUAAAAAAU